rnacentral:rRNA from 1 species
GACAGAGGGUGCAAACGUUGUUCGGAAUUACUGGGCGUAAAGCGCGUGUAGGCGGCUCUGCAAGUCGGAUGUGAAAGCCCUCGGCUCAACCGAGGAAGUGCACCCGAAACUGCAGAGCUAGAGUCUCGGAGAGGAUCGUGGAAUUCUCGGUAUAGAGGUGAAAUUUGUAGAUAUCGAGAGGAACACCGGUGGCGAAGGCGGCAUCCUGGACCAACACUGACGCUGAGGAGCGAAAGCCAGGGGAGCAAACGGG